UACCUUGCGUUGUGGCCGCAAUAACCCAGGUUCGAAUCCUGGUCACGGCAUAAUUUUUUUUCGCUUCUCUUGCUUAAUUUCUUGGAGCAAGUAGUACUCUGUAUAUACAUAUACACCAACGCGAAACAGGAGGGACGGGUACGCUGGUUUUUGUUUGUAGUUCACAGACAGUCGCGUGGAAUGUGCUGCUGAUUCGAUACCGUUCCAUACGCUUUCUUUUCCUUUCGCAUCACUGCAGUUUUUAUUUGCUAGUUUCCUACAUUGCGGCCUUUGCAUUGAACUCCCAUUGGCAGCUUCCAUGAGGGUGAUCAGGGAAGCAUCCAAGCCCGUCCUUCUGGGCAGCCGUGAUCGUAUAGUGGUUAGUACCUUGCGUUGUGGCCGCAAUAACCCAGGUUCGAAUCCUGGUCACGGCAUAAUUUUUUUUCGCUUCUCUUGCUUAAUUUCUUGGAGCAAGUAGUACUCUGUAUAUACAUAUACACCAACGCGAAACAGGAGGGACGGGUACGCUGGUUUUUGUUUGUAGUUCACAGACAGUCGCGUGGAAUGUGCUGCUGAUUCGAUACCGUUCCAUACGGUUUCUUUUACUUUCGCAUCACUGCAGUUUUUAUUUGCUAGUUUCCUACAUUGCGGCCUUUGCAUUGAACUCCCAUUGGCAGCUUCCAUGAGGGUGAUCAGGGAAGCAUCCAAGCCCGUCCUUCUGAGCAGCCGUGAUCGUAUAGUGGUUAGUACCUUGCGUUGUGGCCGCAAUAACCCAGGUUCGAAUCCUGGUCACGGCAUAAUUUUUUUUCGCUUCUCUUGCUUAAUUUCUUGGAGCAAGUAGUACUCUGUAUAUACAUAUACACCAACGCGAAACAGGAGGGACGGGUACGCUGGUUUUUGUUUGUAGUUCACAGACAGUCACGUGGAAUGUGCUGCUGAUUCGAGACCGUUCUAUACGCUUUCUUUUCGUUUCGCAUCACUGCAGUUUUUAUUUGCUAGUUUCCUACAUUGCGGCCUUUGCAUUGAACUCCCAUUGGCAGCUUCCAUGAGGGUGAUCAGGGAAGCAUCCAAGCCCGUCCUUCUGGGCAGCCGUGAUCGUAUAGUGGUUAGUACCUUGCGUUGUGGCCGCAAUAACCCAGGUUCGAAUCAUGGUCACGGCAUAAUUUUUUUUUCGCUUCUCUUGCUUAAUUUCUUGGAGCAAGUAGUACUCUGUAUAUACAUAUACACCAACGCGAAACAGGAGGGACGGGUACGCUGGUUUUUGUUUGUAGUUCACAGACAGUCGCGUGGAAUGUGCUGCUGAUUCGAUACCGUUCCAUACGGUUUCUUUUACUUUCGCAUCACUGCAGUUUUUAUUUGAUAGUUUCCUACAUUGCGGCCUUUGCAUUGAACUCCCAUUGGCAGCUUCCAUGAGGGUGAUCAGGGAAGCAUCCAAGCCCGUCCUUCUGAGCAGCCGUGAUCGUAUAGUGGUUAGUACCUUGCGUUGUGGCCGCAAUAACCCAGGUUCGAAUCCUGGUCACGGCAUAAUUUUUUUUUCGCUUCUCUUGCUUAAUUUCUUGGAGCAAGUAGUACUCUGUAUAUACAUAUACACCAACGCGAAACAGGAGGGACGGGUACGCUGGUUUUUGUUUGUAGUUCACAGACACUCACGUGGAAUGUGCUGCUGAUUCGAUACCGUUCCAUACGGUUUCUUUUACUUUCGCAUCACUGCAGUUUUUAUUUGAUAGUUUCCUACAUUGCGGCCUUUGCAUUGAACUCCCAUUGGCAGCUUCCAUGAGGGUGAUCAGGGAAGCAUCCAAGCCCGUCCUUCUGGGCAGCCGUGAUCGUAUAGUGGUUAGUACCUUGCGUUGUGGCCGCAAUAACCCAGGUUCGAAUCCUGGUCACGGCAUAAUUUUUUUUCGCUUCUCUUGCUUAAUUUCUUGGAGCAAGUAGUACUCUGUAUAUACAUAUACACCAACGCGAAACAGGAGGGACGGGUACGCUGGUUUUUGUUUGUAGUUCACAGACACUCACGUGGAAUGUGCUGCUGAUUCGAUACCGUUCCAUACGGUUUCUUUUACUUUCGCAUCACUGCAGUUUUUAUUUGAUAGUUUCCUACAUUGCGGCCUUUGCAUUGAACUCCCAUUGGCAGCUUCCAUGAGGGUGAUCAGGGAAGCAUCCAAGCCCGUCCUUCUGGGCAGCCGUGAUCGUAUAGUGGUUAGUACCUUGCGUUGUGGCCGCAAUAACCCAGGUUCGAAUCCUGGUCACGGCAUAAUUUUUUUUCGCUUCUCUUGCUUAAUUUCUUGGAGCAAGUAGUACUCUGUAUAUACAUAUACACCAACGCGAAACAGGAGGGACGGGUACGCUGGUUUUUGUUUGUAGUUCACAGACAGUCGCGUGGAAUGUGCUGCUGAUUCGAUACCGUUCCAUACGGUUUCUUUUACUUUCGCAUCACUGCAGUUUUUAUUUGAUAGUUUCCUACAUUGCGGCCUUUGCAUUGAACUCCCAUUGGCAGCUUCCAUGAGGGUGAUCAGGGAAGCAUCCAAGCCCGUCCUUCUGGGCAGCCAUGAUCGUAUAGUGGUUAGUACCUUGCGUUGUGGCCGCAAUAACCCAGGUUCGAAUCCUGGUCACGGCAUAUUUUUUUUCGCUUCUCUUGCUUAAUUUCUUGGAGCAAGUAGUACUCUGUAUAUACAUAUACACCAACGCGAAACAGGAGGGACGGGUAAGCUGGUUUUUGUUUGUAGUUCACAGACAGUCGCGUGGAAUGUGCUGCUGAUUCGAUACCGUUCUAUACGCUUUCUUUUCGUUUCGCAUCACUGCAGUUUUUAUUUGCUAGUUUCCUACAUUGCGGCCUUUGCAUUGAACUCUCAUUGGCAGCUUCCAUGAGGGUGAUCAGGGAAGCAUCCAAGCCCGUCCUUCUGGGCAGCCGUGAUCGUAUAGUGGUUAGUACCUUGCGUUGUGGCCGCAAUAACCCAGGUUCGAAUCCUGGUCACGGCAUAAUUUUUUUUCGCUUCUCUUGCUUAAUUUCUUGGAGCAAGUAGUACUCUGUAUAUACAUAUACACCAACGCGAAACAGGAGGGACGGGUAAGCUGGUUUUUGUUUGUAGUUCACAGACAGUCGCGUGGAAUGUGCUGCUGAUUCGAUACCGUUCUAUACGCUUUCUUUUCGUUUCGCAUCACUGCAGUUUUUAUUUGCUAGUUUCCUACAUUGCGGCCUUUGCAUUGAACUCUCAUUGGCAGCUUCCAUGAGGGUGAUCAGGGAAGCAUCCAAGCCCGUCCUUCUGGGCAGCCGUGAUCGUAUAGUGGUUAGUACCUUGCGUUGUGGCCGCAAUAACCCAGGUUCGAAUCCUGGUCACGGCAUAGUUUUUUUUCGUUUCACUUAUUUAAUUUCUUGCAUCAAGUAAUACCCGUGCCACACGGGCAAAGUAAAGCGCACUUUGAGCGAGUGCACUUCGCGGCUAGUGUCAUUCGCCGGCUGCCACACGGGAACGCUUAUACCCCUGUCAAUCGGGCAAGUUAAGUGCACUUACGGGGAGUGCACUUCGGGACCUUGAGUGACACAUUAUGCUACGCGGUUCUAAACGGGAAACAGAGCGCACUAGCAGUUAAAAAUGGCGACAAACUGCGAGACCGUUUUGUAAAGAUGUAGAUUAAAAAGAAAAGUACUUCUAAAGAGUGAUUGUCUUACGUUGUAUUAUUAAUUAAUACAAACUUAAUCUAGGCUUUUUAAACAAAAAACGAAAAGAUUUUUUAUUAUAAGAGUGUGGCAAGUCAAUGCCGGCCAAGAAAAAUGCCUAGCCAAUCCAGAACGAGAUAGCGGCGUGCGACGAGGCGGCAUGUAUGGGUGUUCUGUGGCGGCAUUUGAUCCUGCUCGAACAGAAUAUGAACGCGUUUUAGACUAUUAUUUGUGCGCAAGAGCUGUUCAAACACUAAAAUGAACUUCUGUGUCGUUUUUUUGUGCAUUACAUUUUGUACCAUUGAAACCGCUGGCGACGAGGCUACGCACUCGGCCAGCAAAGUGCGUUCCGUGAACGCACUUCGACCAGAGUACACUCUGCAGCGAGUGGCACUGCACUUGCGACGUUUAGAUUUGGCAAAGUGCACUUAAAACCGAGUUACACUCUCCGUGAGUGCACUUAACUUGCCCGCUUGACAGGGGUAUUAGUGACACUCACUGCAGAGCGCACUCGCCGGCGAGUGCGCUCUGCAGUGAAUAAGAUACAUAAAGAGAUAUUGAAAGAAGUGUCAGGAGUGAUUCUUUUAAAUUGCUAGCGUUACAAGAUAAUAAAAUGUGCCACACCACAAAAACAACAACAACAAUAACAGCAGAAAACUACUCUCGCUCUCGGGCUGUUCACGACCAUGCCGGGUAAUGGCUGCGCAGUUGUUUGGCGGAUCGAGUCAUUUGGACAGUUGCCGAUCAAGUUGCCGUCGUUGCCGGCGCUUGUAAAGGUGGAUUGUAAAUGUUGUUUCUAACAAUAAUAAACUGUUUUCGUGCACACAUUUUUAUAUUAUUAAAUAUAUGCGUUCCCGUCUGACUACCGGUCGCCAUUGCCAUCAAUUCGAAAGAACACUUUUCUUUCUCGUGUAGCAGCGCACCGCCAAAGUGACAUUCAGCGCGCUGAAGUGAAAUCGCUCAAAGUGCACUUUACUUUGCCCGUGUGGCACGGGUAUAAUACUCUGUAUAUACCUAUGCACCAACGGGAAACAGCAGGGAUGGGUAAAACGGUUUUCAAGCGAAGCUUGUAUGGUGUUACAGAUUUCGGUGGCGGUGUAGUCACGCAAAACGUCACGUGCGGCGCAUACCCGCAUUGGAUAUGCGGGUAUGAGCCAGGGACAAGAAAGAAAGAAGGAAUGGAAGAAAGAAAGGAAGGAAGGAUAAAAGAAAGAGCAGGUGCGGGGAAAGCUGCGCCGGCGCCGGAUCCCGUUACCACUCAGGGUCAUUUGGUGUGUCACGGAGAGGGAAAGGGAAGGAAAAAGGGUGGGCGCGCGUUCCGGCAGGCUUGCCUCUCCUCAGAUCAGUCUCGGCCCCCGGAUGGAGGACCCGCGUGGUGCGUUCCGCGGAGGAGCAAGCUGCGUUUGAGCAACGGCGCCGCGAACUUGCUCGAGAAAGGGCUUGUUGUUGACGUGCCGAUUCUAGCGAGAGGGCUUCCGAAGCCCAGGCGAAACGUCAGCGAAGAGCCGCCGACCAUGAGUUUAGAGCAAACGAAGCGGAACGCCUGCGACAGCGUCGUUUGCCACCAGCUUCGCUUACCCCCCUUUGCUCUACAGUGUAAGGGUUCUGAGUGAAAUUUGUUUGUUGUUCACAGACAGUCGCUUGGAAUGUGCUGCUGAUUCGAACCCGUUCGAUACCCGUUAUUUUCCUUUCGCGUCCUUGUUCACUGCAGUUUUCAUGUGCUAGUUUCCUACACUGUGGCCUUUGCAUUGAACUCCCAUCGACAGCUUCCGUGAGGGUAAUCAGGGAGACAGCCAGCUCCAUCGUUCUGGGCUGCCGUCAUCGCAUAGUGGUUAGUACCUUGCAUUGUGGAAACGUCUGAGCAAACCGGCUUAUACAAGGUGUUUCUGCUAACUUGCGUCAAGCCUGUAGAAAUCCACGUGUGAGCUACGAGAAUGCAACCAAAUUGACACUGUUCAGUGUCCCCUUGAGCAACGCAAAAUAUUCUUACUGUGCGCAAUUAGAGCAAUAGUUAACAAAAAUUAUUAAUAAACUUUAAAUGAUUGCUUAAAGCGCGAAAUCUUCAAUGUAGAAGUUGUAGAACCUAAUAAUAAAUAUGUAAAUUAUUACUUUCCGUGAGGCUAGCUGCUGUGGUGUUAAAUUUCAUGGGCUACACGAAAAACGCGCGAAAUGUGAAAAAAAUUCAGAGCCCUUCCGCUAUGUGAAGACGGAAUACCAGUUAAGUUGUUGCUUUUGUUUAGUUAUAUUCUAUUGUUUUAAUUUGGUGGUUAUGUUAAAUGAUUUAAAAGGCACAACACAUAACUUCGUUGUUUAAUUUUGUCUUGUUUUUUAAAUUCCAUUCACUUUGUCACCAUCCUGACGGGCAAUGCGUUUGCGCUUGUAUAUAGCGUCAUUGGCCCGAUAUUCGUCAGUCAUUUUAGCCCGGUGGCGUCGAUUGCACUCACGUUUUUGUUGCCGCAUGCGUUCUAGACGGGCACGUUCUUCAUCGGUAAGGAGACGGUCACUCGAAGUUGAUGGGCCCGCACAAUCGGCCGCAGCACGUUCGGCUUGUCGCCGCUUUCGCAUCCAUUCGCGCUGUUGAGAGCGCCGGCGCUCCUUGAAGGCGCGCUCUUCCACUUUGGAGCGAGCGACACGGGUCUUACCCACACCAAGUCCAAGGGGCAACUGAUGACGUCGCUAGGCAAAUGGCAAUGUCAAGAGAGUAUCAGACACAGCUAUUGGUUGGUAGACUACUACGUUUAACACUGACAUUUCGACACGUAUCGUCAUAGACUAGCGUUUGGGCAACAGCGUUCAUCGCUUUGGGUCCAACGCGUGAUAUGCGUAGUUCAAUAAGGGCAUGUUACAGGUCCCCGAGCCGGCAGGGGUAUGUGCCAUUUAGCUUGGACCCUUUUUGCAAUAUCACCAGGAUCAGCCGACAUGAUCAUUUGUUUUGUGUCAACAUCCAGAUCUUAGUCAUAAAAAAAAAGUACCACGCUGUUAGGCGCUUGCGCGCGCCGACAUUAGUUCCCUUAAUCUGCUACCAACGAAUGAUCGAUGCUGCAUGCACACUGAACGCAGGAAUUUCUAUUCAUGGCGGCAGCAGUUCGACUGGGGGCGUCAUGCAAAAGCGCUAAUCCUGCACUAUAAUUUAGGCGCAGUUUGAGAACCCCAGGGGUGCACGUCAUCUUCUACAGCCCGAUGUAGAGUCGUCUUGGGACAUUAAACACCACGAAUCAAUCAAACAAAAUAUCUAUCAGUCAAUCAAUCAAUCAUCCAAUCGAUUGUUCAAUCAAUCAACCAAUCAAUAAAAAAUUCCUCUUUAGUCUCUCCUGUAAAUAGCUCGGAGGCAACGGAAGCGCAACGCUCAAGCAAUAUGGGCGCGCGAUACAAAUACAGCCGCUACUUUGCUUCGGGGUAUUUCUUUGUGUCGUGCCUUUUUUUAUUUAUAUAUAUAUUUUUUGGUCUUGCGCCCAUUCAGGGUGACCCAGUUUCUAGCCGGCAGGUCGGGUUGUUCUCGGGUCCACCCCAGUUUUUUUCUCCCUGCAAGUCGUCCAGCCGGACAGCCGUGAUCGUAUAGUGGUUAGUACCUUGCGUUGUGGCCGCAAUAACCCAGGUUCGAAUCCUGGUCACGGCAUGUUUUUUAUUUUUUUUAUUUCAUAGUUUUUUGAAACAAGACAACAACACCACUGACUACUGACAGUAGCUCGUGUGCUGAAAUAAUCUGGACGCAGAUGGUAUUGACGGUUAGAAACUGUUGCUUUGUUUAUUACCUGAUACUAAGAUAUCAAUAUACGGUGCGUUAGUGUUAAUCAAUAGGAUUACUAUGUCUGAGAAGCAACACAACGCACAAACAAGUGAAUAAAGGAACACAACGUGCCUGUAGCUAUACGUGUGUCAUAAGUGUGCACACAGUCAACAGCCAAUAGAAGUAUAAGCGUUGAAAGCUGAAAGACUCGGUAAGAUUCAAAAUAGUCAUCCAAGGACGGCGCAUUCUUGCACUUUGAAUUAAAGACAGUCGCAAGUGUUGGUGAGCGCGUGCUCGGCUUUGAAAUCUGUAGUUUAGUGAGUUGUAGAAGCGCGUUGCUGGUAUGGUAAUUGCUACUUAAUGAUCUUGAAACUAAUGAAAACCAAUUUGUGUUUUCUUUGUGUUGCUAUGUGCGAGGUCUUACGAACGAGUGGCCUUAUCAUUAUUUUAAAUGUAUACACGAAGCAAGGUUCUGCUUUAAGAAGGACAUCGUGCCAAUAAAUAACUCUUACUAAAAGGAAAUAAAACUUCGCGAUAUUUUCGAGUUCUGUGAGAAGGGAUGGACACGAAAGGCAAUGGCGUCGACAUUGAUAAGACAGUGUGAGCUGCUGGCCCCCUCUCAAUUUUUUCCAUGGAUAAUUCAGCAAGAACGUCAUACAAACAUCCUGAAUUGCGUUUUCAGCGAGACCUGCGUAAAUAUUCACAAGCAAAGUUUAAAGCGGAGUUGUAAAGGCUGCAUCAUUUUCUUCUUUUUUUUCAUAACAACUGUUUUCUAAUCACCACGCGCGUGCCAAAUCGAGACGUGAACAAGCUGGAAGUAGCUGUAGGGCAUUUUUUUACUGCGCAACCAAGUCGUAUCCAGUGCAAUGACGUCGGGAUGGCGAUAGCGCUGAGAGCCCAUAGAAUUUUGUAUCGGCCAGUGUACACUGAUGGCAUUGAGUCCAAAGUGUGUCUUUUCUUCUUUUUCCGUAGAUGUCCGAUAGGCAUUUCUAUAGCGGCUUUGUCGCACUGAUAUACCAGAAUACUCCCAUAGGUAUCAUGGCACUUCAUCUUACUUCAUCUUAAUAUAUAUAUAUAUAUAUAUAUACGGGCGACAUUGAAAACUAGUCUUGCCAAGUUCUGUAUAAAUAAACGUGCUACACUAUACUGUUCUGAAACUGGGUACAGUUUAGUAAGCGGUAGGCAGAUUGCGGACAGCUAUGGCUCGAGGUUGUGGUGUGCUUAGCUAUAACAUCGAAAAUUGCUUAUAAAUAUUAAGUGUGCUUGCAUACGGAACAAGCUGUUCCGUGAAAGGCCGUCAGUGCUGCGGCUACUUUUGCGAGCUCCACGUUUAUGGCCGCUCACUGCUGGUGGCGCAUGCCCUGUGCUUGCAGUACGACUCGCUGACCCAUGUCAAUAUGGUAUGUAGGAAGCUUUAGAAUUGGAAACUCCAAGAUUAGUGCGCCCCAAGUAGCCAUCGCUUUGCGCUCCCGUGGUAAAUUACCCGGCGCGGAUGCCUUUGGUUCCCCGCUUGCGUUAGCGUCGCGCGUUUUCAGCGCUAUUACUCCUGGAAAAGGAAAUUCUAUAUAUAUAUAUAUAGUUUGAUGCUACCUCUAUAUUAAUUCUACAUAUAGGUAGACGCCGCUUUAGUGAUCGCAGAGCAAUAAAUAAUGACACGAUGUUACGGAUAACUUGUUUUAUUGUAUAAUAUAUCCGUUUGGAGGUCAUACUUAAGGUCAUGGUUGGGCACAGCAUACGCAGAGUGCACCCAUGUGGCACGCGGGGAAAGGUCGCCUCCCCCUGAUUAAACCUUUUCGCUUUAGUUCUACCUGUCUCAAAUCGACAACCGGUUGAAAGAAAGAAGAAAAAAAAAGCGGUGACUUGUUCAAUAUAUUUACACUUCACGUAUGUGACUGAAAAAGACAGAAACGAUAGCUAGCCUACACAUGUGUUUCAUCGUCAUUUUGGUUUGCGCAAAGCUUAAUCACACGCACGUACGUUAUAGUUGAAAUUUCAGCUUAGGGAAAACCGUGCAAAAUAAGCGGCUCGCGCCAAACUGCGCAGUGCCUGUACGCUAUUCACCAUAGGGGCAGCUUAGUGCCCCUGUCACACAAUUACCUAGUGUGUUGUAGAGAUCGAUACGAGGUAUUAUGAUAAGCUGAAGGUAUAUGUCGUAGGGUGAUCAGAACGAGGCGACCGAUGAACGAAGCGAUAAGAAUCGAACAAUUUAUACGCGAGCGUGCAUGGCUUGAUAAACCGGUCCAAGGACAGACGAGGAACGAGUGUGCCUCAAGAGUAUUGUCAUUGUUCUCGCAAGCUCCGAGUACGCCCACAUUCAAGUAACUUUGUCGAGCGUCCCGUUUUUGCUUUUUUUUUUCUUCUUCAUUGCCCGGCAGGUUUCAAUGACGCAUUUCUUCCCCGUUAAGCGUAUGCUUUACCUGAAUCGGCUGCGCAGUAGCCAUUGCAAUUGGCUGAUGCACGCGCGGUCGCGCGAGUUUUAUUUGCAGCCAUGGUGAUCACGCUCACACGGGGGCGAUGUGCAAAAGUGCUCAUGUGAAGCCCUUGCGGGCGCGUUACGCAAUCUCAAGAACUCUCCGCGAGCUUAUAUUGUAAAGAGCAGUCGGGACUCGCACUGCGUCUGUCCUAUAUACAAACAGGGCCCACUAUGGCGGUGCCCAGGGCCUUGCGACAUAUUACACACUGUGCACCAUAAACGAGAACUAAGGGCACAAUGCUUACUCAGUCGGAAACUUUAUCUUAGUUUAUAUUACCUCCUUGUUGUUGCAAUCUGUGUUUCCUCCUGUCCUUUCUUCCUGUAAUUUACUCUCCUUCUCCCCUCCUCAACUGCUGGCUGCCAUCCAAGUGUCAGCUGCUAUAGCUAGACAGUGGCCGCAGGCAGAAGUUUCCCUCUUUCAUUCUUCUACAUUUAUUGAACAAUUUAAGGAACUGCAGGUGGUAGAAGUUAAUAUGCAGGAAUCCACUCUGUCGCUUUGAAGGUUAAAGUCAAAUCAAUCAAUAAAUACGUCAUCCUUGCCUAACGCCAUUCUUGUCGCAGUCGAACAUGAACCUUUGCAGCAGACGAAGCGGUACCCUCCACACGCAUAAUCAAGCCUUCUUGUCUUCUUUCACUGGGAACAUAAUAUUGCAUGUGCAAAAAAAUGGUUUGCUGCGUGACGUAUUGAAUGUAAAGCAGGACUGAGCUUUAGUUUCGGAAUUUGGCCAGAACAUGGCGUUGUAUUGAAGAAUAAUGAAGUGCAGCAUCGACGAAACGUGCGGAUUCGUAUUAGAGCUAGCCUGCGCAGGAGUCUAUUAGCCCGUCAACGGAGGCGUGAAUGCAUGCACGGAUGGCAGCGGCAGCGCUCCUACCGACAUCUCGUGAUUUGUUCAAGCACGAAGCUUUGUUCAGCCACAUAACGUUUUCGUGUUCCAUGUUGUUCUCGUCGUACGAAAAGCGAUGAGCGACUAUGCAUUCACGAUUGUGCUAAUAUCGACGCCUUCAGGCCAGCAGAUUAUUUACGCAUAGCCAGUUACGGAACAAUAUUUUUUUCUUGCGCUACUGUUGAAUUUUAAGGCAUAAGGUGGCGUCGCUACAAGCGGUGCUUUUGACGCCUACAACUCUGGUUUCCCGUAAAUUGUAAUUCACACUCGAGAAGAUUGAAACUCUCUAUUCCCUUUGAGAACGCCCUAUGUUCAAACAAAUAUAUAUGCUAUAGUUUGUUACCGAAGCCUUCAUUCGGCAUGCGAUGUUUCUUUGGGGGCAACAAAAAAAAAAUGAAUACAAAUAAUAUUAAUAAAUUUUGAAGGACCAGCGCUUAGACGAAGUACAGAGAAAAGAGCGGCAUACACAUACCGCUUACAAUUAAUAAUGUAAUAUAAGCAUUUGGCAGAUACCGUGAAUAUAAUUAAUUAUCGACAGCCCCGCCAGCGUCGCCCGGCUAGCUCAGUCGGUAGAGCAUGAGACUCUUAAUCUCAGGGUCGUGGGUUCGAGCCCCACGUUGGGCGUUUAUUCUUUUGUCAUACUAUAUGCUUUUUUUUUAUUAUGAAGUGGGAUUUUUGCA